AACGAACGCUGGCGGCAGGCUUAACACAUGCAAGUCGAGCGCCCCGCAAGGGGAGCGGCAGACGGGUGAGUAACGCGUGGGAAUCUACCCAUCUCUACGGAAUAACGCAUGGAAAUGUGUGCUAAUACCGUAUACGUCCUUCGGGAGAAAGAUUUAUCGGAGAUGGAUGAGCCCGCGUUGGAUUAGCUAGUUGGUGGGGUAAAGGCAUACCAAGGCGACGAUCCAUAGCUUGUUUGAGAGGAUGAUCAGCCACACUGGGACUGAGACACGGCCCAGACUCCUACGGGAGGCAGCAGUGGGAAAUAUUGGACAUUGGGCGCAAGCCUGAUCCAGCCAUGCCGCGUGAGUGAUGAAGGCCCUAGGGUUGUAAAGCUCUUUCACCGGUGAAGAUAAUGACGGUAACCGGAGAAGAAGCCCCGGCUAACUUCGUGCCAGCAGCCGCCGUAAAAC
rnacentral:rRNA from 1 species